rnacentral:lncRNA from 1 species
AAAAGACCAAGAAUAGCCAAAGCUAUCCUAAGCAAAAAGAAUGAAACUGGAGGAACCACAUUAGCUGACCUCAAACUAUACUACAGAGCUAUAGUAAUCAAAACAGCUUGGUAUUGGCAUAAAAACAGACACAUAGACCAAUGGAACAGAAUAGAGAACAUAGAAAUAAAUCCAUACAUCUAUAAUGAACUCAUUUUCUACAAAAGUGUCAAACACAUACACCGGGGAAAGGACAGUCUCGUUAAUAAAUGGAGCUGGGACAACUGGAUAUCCAUAUGCAGAAGAAUAAAGCUAGAACCCUACCUCUUGCCAUAAAAAAAAUGGAUUAAAGACUUAGAUCUCACUUUGGGAGGCUGAGGCAGGUGGAUCACCUGAGGUCAAGAGUUUGAGACCAGCCUGGCCAACAUGGUGAAACCCGUCUCUACCAAAAAUACAAAAAUUAGCUGUGCAUGGUGGGGCACCCCAUAAUCCCAGCUAUUUGGGAAGCUAAGGCAGAAGAAUUGCUUGAAUCUGGGAGGCAGAAGUUGCAGUGAGCUGAGAUCAUACCAUCACACUCCAGCCUGGGCAACAGAGUGAGAUUCCGUCUCAAAAAAAAAAAAAAAAAAAAAAAGACUUAAAUCUAAGAUCUCAAACUAUGAAACCACUAAAAGAAAACAUUGGAGGAACUCUCCAGGACAUUGGACUGGGCAGUUAUUUCUUGAGUAAUACCCCAUAAGCAUAGGCAACCAAAGUAAAAAUGGACAAAUGGAAUCACAUCAAAUUUAAAAAGCUUCAACAAAGUGAAGAGACAGCCCACAGAAUGGGAGAAAAUAUUUGCAAACUGCCCAUCUGACAAGGUAUAAAUAACCAGAAUAUAUAAGGAUCUCAAACAACUCGACAAGAAAAAUUCUAAUAAUCCAAUUUAAAAAUGGGCAAAAGAUCCAAAUAGACAUUUCUCAAAAGAAGAUAUAAAAUGGCAAACAUACAUAUGAAAAGGUGCGCAACAUCAUUGAUCAUCAGAGAAAUGCAAACCAAAACUGCAAGAAGAUACCAUCUCACCCCGGUUAAAAUGGCUUAUAUCCAAAAGAUAGGCAAUAAUAAACACCGGCGAGGAUGUGGAGAAAAGGAAAUCCUCAUACACUGUUGGUGGGAAUAUAAAUUAGCACAACCACUAUGCAUAACAGUUUCCUCAAAAAAGCUAAACUACCAUAUGAUCCAGAAAUCCCACUGCUAGGUAUAUGCCCAGAAGAAAGGAAAUUGUAUGGCAAAGGUAUAUUUGCACUCCCAUGUUUGUUGCAGCUCUGUUCACAAUAGCCAGGAUUUGGAAGCAACCUAAGUGUCCAUCAACAGAUGAAUGGAUACAGAAAAUAUGGUACAUAUACACAAUGAAGUACUACUGAGCCAUGAAAAAGAAUGAAUCAUUUGCAACAACAUGGAUGGAACUGGAGGAAAUUAUGUUACAUGAAAUAAGCCAGGCACAGAAAGACAAGCUUCACAUGUUCUCGUUUAUUUGUGGGAUCUAAAACUCAAAACAAUUGAGCCCGUGGAGAUAGAGUAGAAUGAUGGCUACCAGAGUCUGGAAAGGGUAGUUGGGGGUGGAGAAAAUGAGCGAUGGUUAAUGGGUACAAAAAUAUAGUUAGAUAGAAUUAAUAAAAUCUAAUAUUUGAUAGGACAAUGGAGUGACUACAAUUUAUUAUACAUUUAAAAAUAACUAAAAGAGUAUAACUGGAUUGUUUGAAACAUGAAGAAAGCAUCAGUGCUUGAGCUGACGGAUACUCCAUUUACCCUGACAUGAUUGUUACACAUUGUAUGUCUCUAUCAAAAUAUCUUAUGUACCCCAUUAAUAUAUACAUCUAAUAGGUACCCAUAAAAAUAAAAAAUAGGCUGGGCACAGUGGCUCGCGCCUGUAAUCCUAGCACUUUGGGAGGCCAAGGUGGGCAGAUGACCUGAGGUCAGGACUUCAAGACCAGCCUGGCCAACAUGGUGAAACGCCAUCUCCACUAAAAAUACAAGUUAGCCGGGCAUAGUGGCACAUGCCUGUAAUCCCAGCUACUCGGGAAGCUGAGGCAAGAGAAAUGCUUGAACCUGGGAGGCGGAGGUUGCAGUGAGCCGAGAUUGUGCACCACUAAACUCUGGCCUAGGCGACAGAAUGAGACUCUGUCUCAAAAAUAAAAAUAAAAAUAAAUUAAAAAUAAAAAUAAAUUUAAAAUUAAAAAUUAAGACCAGGCUGUACCCUGAGGUAGUUUAGAAGGCUAAACUCCUAUAACUUAGUCUUGGGAGGUCUCAAGGCUUAGCCAGCUCAAAUUUUCCAUUUCUCCAAUAGAAGUUCUCUUAUGAACUCUGAAGAAAUUGCAGCAUUUCUUUUGCUUUUAAAUCUAUCUACUUCUCCAUGAUUUUAGGAAUACCCACUGGAGUUUCUUCUAAUGUAGUGAUUAAUUCUGGUAAAUUCAAUAUAAUACAAUUUAAUUUAAUAAAAUCCAGGGAAGUGGGGUGGAUGGGGAAAGCGGAGAAGUUCAUCAAAGAGUACAAAGUUUCAGUUAGACAGGAAAAAUAAGCUUUAGUGAUUUAUUGCAUAGAAUAAUGACUGUAUUAAAUAAUAAUGCAUUGUAUAUUUUAUUUUGUUUUGUUAUUUAUUAUUUUUGAGACAGAGUCUCACAAUGUUGUCUAGGCUGGUGUCAAACACCUAGGCUCAAGCGAUCCUCUGGCCCCAUCCUCUUGAGUAGCUGAGGCAACAGAAUCACUUGAACCCAGCAGGUUGUGGUGAGCCAAGAUCAUGCCAUUGCACUCCAGCCUGGGCAACAGAGUGAGACGCCAUUUCAAAAAAAAAAAAAAAAAAAAGAAAGAAAAGGGUAGAUUUUAAAUGUUCUCACAACAACAAAAAAUGAUAAGUAUGUAAGAUUCUUAACCACAGUUGAUGUACCUCACAGGAAGAGCUUCUCUUUCAAGAUGUGUAGCUGCCCGAUGGGUUCUUCCUGCCCACUGCACAAAAAAAUCAGUUCAUGGAGACCAUGGCACUGCAGUAAAGAAAGAGGUUAAUUGACAUGAUGCCAGCCACACCAUGUGGGAGGCAGAGUUAUUACUCAAAUCAAACUCAUCUAAGGCUUGGAGGUUAGGGAUUUUUCAAAGGUAAUUUGGUAGGUAGCAGGCUAGGGUAUGGGGAGUGCUGAUUGGUUGGGUCAGAGAUGAAAUCAUAGGGUGUCGAAGCUGUCCUCUUUCUCUGAGUCGCUUCUGGGUGGGGACACAGAAGCCGUUGGCUGGUCCCGGUGGAGCCAUCGGUCAUCAGACAUGCAAAAUCCUGAGAAGAUAUCUCAGAAGGCCAAUCCUAGGUUCUACAAAAGUAACAUUAUCUGCAGGGGUAACUGAGGAAGUUGCAUAUCUUGUGGCUUCUGGAAUAACGCCUCACAAUUGUUUUUGUCUACACCUUAGCAGAAUUUAGGCUCCUCUCCUCCUCCUAGCCUGGUGGUCUCUCAGUAUUACAAGGGUGGUUGAGUUUCGGGGAAGGGUUAUUAUAAUUUAAACUAUCAACUAAAUGACUCCCACAUGUAGCUUGGCUUAAACCCAGGAAUAAGUAAAAGCAGCUUGAAAGCUAAAGGCAAGAGGGAGGUUGGCUAGAUCAGCUUUCUUUCACUGCCAUUAUUUUCUCACUGUGAUAAUUUUUGCAAAGGCGGUUUCAGAUGUGAUUGGAUUUUUGGAUACUGUGAACCCUGAAUAUCUGAGACUGGUCUCAGUCAAUUUAGAAAGUUUAUUUUGCCAAGGUUGAGGCUGCAUGCCUGUGGCACAGCCUCAGGAGGUCCUG